GGGAGGACGGGAAGAGGAGUCUGGCUGUGGAAUGCGAUGUAGACUGUGGCUGGGAGUGUGUAAGGACUGACAGAGGGAGGCCUGGAAGAUGAGUCUGGCUGUGGAAUGCGAUGUAGACUGUGGCUGGGAGUGUGUAAGGUUUGACAGAGGGAGGCCUGGGAGGACGGGAAGAUGAGUCUGGCUGUGGAAUGCGAUGUAGACUGUGGCUGGGAGUGUGUAAGGACUGACAGAGGGAGGCCUGGGAGGACGGGAAGAUGAGUCUGGCUGUGGAAUGCGAUGUAGACUGUGGCUGGGAGUGUGUAAGGACUGACAGAGGGAGGCCUGGGAGGACGGGAAGAUGAGUCUGGCUGUGGAAUGCGAUAUAGACUGUGGCUGGGAGUGUGUAAGACCAGUAAGACGCGGCUUUGGACUUUAUCUGCAUCCACUGUUAGGCAGAGGAGGAUGCGAGCUAUGUUUUUAAGAUGGAAGUCAAAGGAUUUG